UACGGAGGGGGCAAGCGUUGUUCGGAAUUACUGGGCGUAAAGGGCUCGUAGGCGGCCAACUAAGUCAGACGUGAAAUCCCUCGGCUUAACCGGGGAACUGCAUCUGAUACUGGAUGGCUUGAAUCCGGGAGAGGGAUGUGGAAUUCCAGGUGUAGCGGUGAAAUGCGUAGAUAUCUGGAGGAACACCGGUGGCGAAGGCGGCAUCCUGGACCGGUAUUGACGCUGAGGCGCGAAAGCCAGGGGAGCAAACGGG
rnacentral:rRNA from 1 species